AGUAAAAGUCGUAACAAGGUUUCCGUAGGUGAACCUGCGGAAGGAUCAUUAUCGUAUCGAACCGGGUGCGUCCGGGUCGGGCCCUGCACCGGCGGAGACGCCGUGCUGCGGGCCUCCCGGCGCGCCUUCCACACCAAACCCCUGUGCACCUCUUGGGAAGGCGUUCGGCGGAGACGUCGGGCGUCAGCCCCUAUUCUCACAAGCUCUGUCUCUUGUAUAGAAUGACCUGCGGACCUCGUCCGUCUAAAACAAAUAACAACUUUCAACAACGGAUCUCUUGGCUCUCGCAUCGAUGAAGAACGCAGCGAAAUGCGAUAAGCAAUGUGAAUUGCAGAAUUCAGUGAAUCAUCGAAUCUUUGAACGCACCUUGCGCCCUUUGGUAUUCCGAAGGGCAUGCCUGUUCGAGUGUCUUGAAUUCAUCGCGGCCCGAGGUUUUCUGAACCUCCCGGGUCCGCGGAAGUGGGGGCUUGCCGCCGCGAGGCGGCUCCCCUCAAAUGCAUCGGUGGGGUCUCCGGACAUCCCGGGCGUUGUACUGUCCUCGUCCGUACGUGGGUUCCGGCUUCAAGACCCCUCCUCGACCGAUUCCGCGCGAGCGGCGGUCACUGCGAAACGAAAUCUGACCUCGAAUCAGGUAGGACUACCCGCUGAACUUAAGCAUAUCAAUAAGCGGAGGA
rnacentral:rRNA from 1 species